GUAAACUACUCACAAUGCAAGAUCACUGUUAUCAGACCAAAUCUUCAGAAAAAGUCAGAAAAUAUCCGCUCUCUGAAACCCAGAACAAAUUUAGAUGCUCAAAACUGAACAAUUUCUGCACAGAACGUCUAACACAUGGAAUAGUUUGCUGUAAGGAAAUUAGAUUUUGUCCCAUUGUUCGUGGACCUAACGUAGACUUCCUACUUUUUGUGACUCUUUUGAAAAGUUGCUGUUUAUGAUAUUUUCCUGUGGCUGUGUGUUAUCUAGAUUUGUUCCAUGGAUAUUGAUGAAUAAAGGAUAACAGGAAGAAUACAGAUGCUAUAGACAUUGUAAAAGCUAAUCGUGUCUCCAAAUAAAUUCAUAGAAUGUUACCAACAUAUAGAUAGCUGUGUGUUAGUACUGUUAUCAAUUACCACAGAACGUGCAAUGAUUGAUGACCAGAUGGACAGACAGCUGGGCGGGGAUUUGUGUGGAAAGUAGGUUGGACGUUAUUUGUUGGGAGGAAAAGUGGGAGGAGAGAAGGGUGGACCUUAUUGGGUAUUUACAUGUUAGAUCAACCCAAAGGCGGAGCACAGAGAUAGGGAAGAGCAUUCGAGAACUUUUGAGUGAACACAAAAGACCCUCCAGUGAUGGGAGCAGACGUACUGGAUGGGAGCAGACGUAAUCAGGCGUCUAGUCUAUCAUCGUUCAGGCAAUCUUUGGCCGAGUUUUCUUGGGGACAGACGGACACAGAACAGCACAAAAGGAAUUACAACAUAUGAAGGAUGGGAAGAUGACCCCACCAGAUCCCACAGCUUGUCAUGAGAACAAGUUACACAGACGGAUGCUGUUCAAACAGUUUUCCUGAACAGCGAGCUCUACAAGGCGACAACGACAACAGUCACAAGAAAUUAAUAGUUGAACUUGGACGGCAAUCAGAUUGAUAGUAACCGUAGCUUUACAAUGCAUCACAAUCUAUCACCUCAACGAAACGGAAGUCAAUGCACAUGUAGUCAGGCUUGACUCUAUAGUUCCAGGAAUUUUGUUAGCAUGCAAACAAUUUAUUAUACGGUCAACAGAAUUACAAAAGAAAUGUUUUGCUUGAAUGUAUUACCAAGUGUCAUUGUUAUAGAAGUAAAUCCAAAGUUAUAAGAAUGACGCAUCUUUGCCAUGUUCUGCCAGGUUUUUACAUUCUCUGUGUUUGUGUCUUGAGAUAUGGUAAAAGUAUAUAUGAUGUGUAUGUUGAUGAAAUAAAAGGUAUAGGCAAUUG